UCACAGACAAGUUCACUGAGAGUGUCUAUGUCCUUGCCAAUGAGCCAUCAGUGGCCCUGUACCGGCUACAGGAACACGUGCGACGCUCACUGCCAGAGCUGGCCCAGCACAAGGCUGAUAUGCAGCGGUGGGAGGAGCAGAGCCAGGGCGCCAUAUACACCGUGGAAUAUGCCUGCAGUGCUGUGAAGAGCUUGGUGGACAGCAGUGUGUACUUCCGAAGUGUGGAAGGCCUGCUCAAACAGGCCAUCAGUAUCCGGGACCACAUGAGCACCAGCGCCCAGGGCCACAGCCAGGAGAAACCAUCCCCUCCUCCUUCCGUGGCUUGACCCUGACCCUGGAAGACUUAGGGCUGCCAGCUUCCACACCCAGACCUGGCAGAAUCGGUUCCUUGAACACCAUAUUGACGACUCAGCAAGAACUGAAGACCUAGCAAGGUGGCCAGUGCCUACUGCCCACUGCUUCAGCCAUAAUUGUCCCCCUUGGUCAUAAAUUAGAGUCACUGUUCCAGUAGC
rnacentral:lncRNA from 1 species